CACUAUGCUUAGUCCUAAACAUUGAUUAUUUUUCACAUCAAUACAUCCGCCUGGGGAUUACGAACAUUAGUUUAAAACCCAAAGGACUUGGCGGUGCUUAAUAACCCCCUAGAGGAGCCUGUUCUAGAACCGAUAAUCCCCGUUCAACCUCACCCUCCCUAGUUUUUCCCGCCUAUAUACCACCGUCGUCAGCUUACCCUGUGAAGGAUUUAUAGUGAGCAUAACUGGUAAAGCCCAGAACGUCAGGUCGAGGUGUAGUGCAUGAGAGGGGAAGAAAUGGGCUACAUUCGCUGCCCCAGCGAACACGAAUGAUGCAUUGAAACAUGCAACUGAAGGUGGAUUUAGCAGUAAGUGGGAAGCAGAGAGUCCCACUGAAACUGGCUCUUAAGCGUGCACACACCGCCCGUCACCCUCCCCAAGCCCCUGGACCUAAAUUUCCCGUCAAACCAAAACAAACGCGAAGGUGAGGAAAGUCGUAA
rnacentral:rRNA from 1 species